AUUUUGCUGGAGAUCCCUGUGUACCUGAGGCCUUCUAAAGAAAAAAAUAUUUAGCAAGACUUAUGAAGAUACAUGGCAUCGUUUUCAAAAACAUGGAGGGAAAAGAGAAAGGCGUGCUUUUUCCAAUAUGAAGAAUGGAAAGAGAAUUUUGAAACUGUUCUGUGUAAAACCUUGUCUUUGCAAGGAGGUACACAUCCCCUGACUGCAGGUGGAGGAAAACAUACUCAGAUCUUCAUAAAGCUACAUAGGUGAAACUGCACUGAAAAAAUAUCAAGUGGAAAAUUAACCUCAUAUAAACAACCAUGCUAGGAAUAAAAAUAAAAAUAUUAAAUGCUCUGCGUGUACAGAAAGGCAGCUUGGAUACUGGCCUGCACCAUUCAGUGUUCUCAGCAAAGACUAAUGUUGCAUUACAAUGAAUGUCACUUUAAUGAGGCAGAAAAAAUUGGUCCGAAGACAGCCUGCUGAAUUCAAUCACCUGCUUCACUUGACAUGAGAAACUAGUCACAGGACAUGCCAUACACAGCCCCAGCAGUGACAGUGCUCCCUGUAACAAUAUGAAGUUGCAAAAGAUUUCAACCUGUGAACUACUUCUACAGAUGAACAGAUCAUGUUUUAACAUGAACAAGCUCUAUUUGCUUUAUUGGGAAAAACAUGAAAUUGUGUUUAUCACCAUCAUCCUUGCCUUUUGGAAGGAGAAGAAGCCAGGCAAAUUUCUUGGGGAAAAUCUUGUGCGAGGCUUACCCUCCAGGACUACAUUAAAAAGCAAACAAAACCCAGUACGCUGCAAUUUGAGGACAGGACUCAAAGAAUUCAUAAAAGAAAUGAAAAUUGUCUUGAUUCAAUUUAUUUCUGAAUUCAGUGUAUCCUUUUAAGACCAGUAUUGGUCAUAGAUAUAUUCUGGUUAUAGCCAAGGUUUUACCCUAAUAAUUAUCAAUCAUAUAUAGCAGCUUAAAUCUGUACCUUUUUCCAGUAAAGCUGUAACCAUGUAUACAGCAAAAGAAGAAAUUGCAAUAGGAGCAACAGAAAUCUGUCACUGUAGCAGUGUAGGUGGCUCUUAAUUCUAACAAAAAUGCCAUGUGUUAUGACGUACAGGUGUAAACUAUGCCACUGUACAGAUGAAUAAAGUCAAUAUAUUACUGAUUCAGUG
rnacentral:lncRNA from 1 species